rnacentral:rRNA from 1 species
CCUACGGGUGGCUGCAGUGGGGAAUAUUGCACAAUGGGCGCAAGCCUGAUGCAGCCAUGCCGCGUGUGUGAAGAAGGCCUUCGGGUUGUAAAGCACCUUCAGCGGGGAGGAAGGCGGUGAGGUUAAUAACCUCAUCGAUUGACGUUACCCGCAGAAGAAGCACCGGCUAACUCCGUGCCAGCAGCCGCGGUAAUACGGAGGGUGCAAGCGUUAAUCGGAAUUACUGGGCGUAAAGCGCACGCAGGCGGUCUGUCAAGUCGGAUGUGAAAUCCCCAGGCUCAACCUGGGAACUGCAUUCGAAACUGGCAGGCUAGAGUCUUGUAGAGGGGGGUAGAAUUCCAGGUGUAGCGGUGAAAUGCGUAGAGAUCUGGAGGAAUACCGGUGGCGAAGGCGGCCCCCUGGACAAAGACUGACGCUCAGGUGCGAAAGCGUGGGGAGCAAACAGGAUUAGAUACCCUUGUAGUC